CCUACGGGAGGCAGCAGUGAGGAAUAUUGGUCAAUGGUCGGGAGACUGAACCAGCCAAGCCGCGUGAGGGAGGAAGGUACAGAGUAUCGUAAACCUCUUUUGUCAGGGAACAAAGGCGGGGACGUGUCCCCGGAUGAGUGUACCUGAAGAAAAAGCAUCGGCUAACUCCGUGCCAGCAGCCGCGGUAAUACGGAGGAUGCGAGCGUUAUCCGGAUUUAUUGGGUUUAAAGGGUGCGCUGGCGGUCUGUUAAUUCAGCGGUAAAAGCCCGGGGCUCAACCCCGGCCCGCCGUUGAAACUGGCAGUCUCGAGUUGGAGAGAAGUAUGCGGAAUGCGCGGUGUAGCGGUGAAAUGCAUAGAUAUCGCGCAGAACUCCGAUUGCGAAGGCAGCAUGCCGGCUCCACACUGACGCUGAGGCACGAAAGCGUGGGUAUCGAACAGGAUUAGAUACCCUUGUAGUC
rnacentral:rRNA from 1 species